rnacentral:misc_RNA from 1 species
GUUAAUGGGAAAUUCUUGCCGACGGCAAUUUACACCUUUCUUCUCAAUUUUAUUGAUGCUUGGGGGUGUAAUAUAGCAUUCAUCCUUUUACAUGGGUCUUAUGGAUUCCACAUCCAUUGGAUAUAAUGAUUUAAGGAUGAUGGUCAGUUGGAAAGAAAUGCGGCUUAUUUGAAAUCAUUUAGUUGCCAUGUGCAAUUGUUGCUUUCGAUUAUUAAGGCAUGUUUGCCUCAACCUUCAUACAACUUUGCUUCCUCCAUCAGGUCCAUCCGCAUGGAUUGGUACUUGGUGCGGUUGUCGAAGUUGCUUUGAGGUUGUGUUACCUGGUUGAUCCUGCCAGUAGUCAUAUGCUUG